GAUCAGGAGAUGCUUCCCUCAGGAAGUGACAUUUAAGGUGGAACAUGAUGAAUAAGGAGGGUUCAGGAGAAGCUUCCCUCAGGAAGUGACAUGUAAGGUGGAACAUGAUGAAUAAGGAGGGCUCAGGAGAAGCUUCCCUCAGGAAGUGACAUGUAAGAUGGAACAUGAUGAAUAAGAUGUAAGGUGGAACAUGAUGAAUAAGGAGGGUUCAGGAGAAGCUUCCCUCAGGAAGUGACGUUUAAGGUGGAACAUGAUGAAUAAGGAGGGUUCAGGAGAAGCUUCCCUCAGGAAGUGACAUGUAAGGUGGAACAUGAUGAAUAAGGAGGGUUCAGGAGAAGUUUCCCUCAGGAAGUGACAUGUAAGGUGGAACAUGAUGAAUAAGGAGGGUUCAGGAGAAGCUUCCCUCAGGAAGUGACGUUUAAGGUGGAACAUGAUGAAUAAGGAGGGUUCAGGAGAAGCUUCCCUCAGGAAGUGACAUGUAAGGUGGAACAUGAUGAAUAAGGAGGGUUCAGGAGAAGCUUUCCUCAGGAAGUGACAUUUAAGGUGGAACAUGAUGAAUAAGGAGGGUUCAGGAGAAGCUUCCCUCAGGAAGUGACAUGUAAGGUGGAACAUGAUGAAUAAGGAGGGUUCAGGAGAAGCUUCCCUCAGGAAGUGACAUGUAAGAUGGAACAUGAUGAAUAAGAUGUAAGGUGGAACAUGAUGAAUAAGGAGGGUUCAGGAGAAGCUUCCCUCAGGAAGUGACGUGUAAGGUGGAACAUGAUGAAUAAGGAGGGUUCAGGAGAAGCUUCCCUCAGGAAGUGACAUGUAAGGUGGAACAUGAUGAAUAAGGAGGGCUCAGGAGAAGCUUCCCUCAGGAAGUGACAUGUAAGAUGGAACAUGACGAAUAAGAUGUAAGGUGGAACAUGAUGAAUAAGGAGGGUUCAGGACACGCUUCCCUCAGGAAGUGACAUGUAAGGUGGAACAUGAUGAAUAAGGAGGGCUCAGGAGAAGCUUCCCUCAGGGAGUGACAUGUAAGAUGGAACAUGAUGAAUAAGAUGUAAGGUGGAACAUGACGAAUAAGGAGGUUUCAGGAGAAGCUUCCCUCAGGGAGUGACAUGUAAGAUGGAACAUGAUGAAUAAGAUGUAAGGUGGAACAUGAAUAAGGAGGGCUCAGGAGAAGCUUCCCUCAGGGAGUGACAUGUAAGAUGGAACAAGAUGAAUAAGAUGUAAGGUGGAACAUGACGAAUAAGGAGGUUUCAGGAGAAGCUUCCCUCAGGAAGUGACAUGUAAGACGGAACAUGAUGAAUAAGAUGUAAGGUGGAACAUGAUGAAUAAGGAGGGUUCAGGAGAAGCUUCCCUCAGGAAGUGACAUGUAAGAUAGAACAUGAUGAAUAAAGAGGGCUCAGGAGAAGCUUCCCUCAGGAAGUGACAUGUAAGAUGGAACAUGACGAAUAAGAUGUAAGGUGGAACAUGAUGAAUAAGGAGGGUUCAGGAGAAGCUUCCCUCAGGAAGUGACAUGUAAGGUGGAACAUGAUGAAUAAGGAGGGCUGAGGAGAAGCUUCUCUCAGGGAGUGACAUGUAAGAUGGAACAUGAUGAAUAAGAUGUAAGGUGGAACAUGAUGAAUAAGGAGGGUUCAGGAGAAGCUUCCCUCAGGAAGUGACAUGUAAGGUGGAACAUGAUGAAUAAGGAGGGCUCAGGAGAAGCUUCCCUCAGGAAGUGACAUGUAAGAUGGAACAUGAUGAAUAAGAUGUAAGGUGGAACAUGAUGAAUAAGGAGGGUUCAGGAGACGCUUCCCUCAGGAAGUGACAUGUAAGGUGGAACAUGAUGAAUAAGGAGGGCUCAGGAGAAGCUUCCCUCAGGAAGUGACAUGUAAGAUGGAACAUGAUGAAUAAGAUGUAAGGUGGAACAUGAUGAAUAAGGAGGGUUCAGGAGAAGCUUCCCUCAGGAAGUGACAUGUAAGAUGGAAAAUGAUGAAUAAGAUGUAAGGUGGAACAUGAUGAAUAAAGAGGGCUCAGGAGAAGCUUCCCUCAGGAAGUGACGUUUAAGGUGGAACAUGAUGAAUAAGGAGGGUUCAGGAGAAGCUUCCCUCAGGAAGUGACGUUUAAGGUGGAACAUGAUGAAUAAGGAGGGUUCAGGAGAAGCUUCCCUCAGGAAGUGACGUUUAAGGUGGAACAUGAUGAAUAAGGAGGGUUCAGGAGAAGCUUCCCUCAGGAAGUGACGUUUAAGGUGGAACAUGAUGAAUAAGGAGGGCUCCGCCAGGCAACAAGGUGGCUGCAGAGCGCAUCACACACAACGGGCAGCACACGCAACAGCUCUGGGCAUGUGUGGGAAAAUGAAAGUGAGCCAAGGGAGCAGAACUACACUGAGCAAGAGGCCACUGCAGGGAGGGAAAAUCAGAGCAGUCAUAAGAAGCUCAAGGCUUUCGGCUUUGCACCAAGAGCAACAGAAAGCCCCUAAAGAAUUCUGCGAAAGGGGAUGAAAAGAGUAGUAUACUUAAUUAUAUUUAGAGUACGAACUCAAUUAUUUUUUAAAAUGUACAGAAAUGACUAGAAGUAGAUAUAUUACAAAUACUGAAUUGUUGCAAUACUGCCCUGAUAGUAAGAUUAUAAAUAUUUUUAUGCACACUUUUCAAGCUUCCCAAAUUUAUACUAUCCAUAAAUUCCUACAGUUAAAGAAAAAAAAAAAAAAACCCACACCCCCAAACACAGCACUGGAGUAGCUCCCUUCUUCCCUUGCCUCAGGCAACUUUUCCAUCCAUUGCACACAUUUAUUUGCAUGAUACAUCCUUGAUCCAGACUUAGUCGGCUAUAAAUUCUAAGUGAUAACUUGUCUCUGCCCCUCCACUUCACCCACUACCAAAGCUGUAACUCAGAUGACAACAAUUUUUUUUUUUUUUGACACGGGGUUUUACUCUGUCACCCAAGCUGGAGUGCAGUGACACAAUCGUAGCUCACUGUAGCCUCUAACUUCUGGGCUUACCAUGCCUAUCUAUCUAUCUAUCUAUCCAUCUAUCUAUCUAUUUAUUUAGAGAUGGAGUCUUGCUCUGUCACCCAGGUUGGAGUGCAGUGGGACGAUCUCGGCUCACUGCAACCUCCACCUCCCAGGUUCUGGGAAGCGAUUCUCCUGCCUCAGCCUCCUGAGUAGCUGGGACUACAGGCGCGUGCCACCACACCUGGCUAAUUUUUUUAAUUUUUAGUAGAGACAGGGUUUCACAGUGUUAGCCAGUAUGGUCUCAAUCUCCUGACCUCAUGAUCCACCCACCUCGGCCUCCCAAAGUGCUGAGAUUACAGGCAUGAGCCACCACGCCCAGCCCUUAUUUUUAUUUUUUAUAGAGAUGGGGGUCUCACUGUGUUGCCCAGGCUGGUCCUCAGAUGACCACUUUUAACUGUGGUUCAGUUCUAAGCCAAUCCACAGUGUCUCUCAGUUCCAUCACAUUUCAAAUGGAAAAUACCACUGACACUAUUGAUGCCCAAUGAAAAGAAUGAACCCUGUAGGAAUCUUAGCCAGCCAAUACAUUAGCUUAAGGUAGUUUACAAUGUACUUAACAGGAGGAAUAGAAAAACAGCAAGUAAACCUAACCAUGGUGCAUAGUUACUCUAAAUGUCUGUCUUCAUUUGCAAACUCAAGUUUGGGACUUGAAAUUCUUUCAUAUUGUGUAUGUAUACAUGUUCAGAAUCUUAUUACAUAACAAGUCAAUUAUACCUGAGUUCAAAUAUUUCAAUAGAUUUUUUUUUAAUCAUCUUACCUUCAAAGCAAAGCAUUUCAGGUUUCCAACACUUUAGUAGUUUGGAGUUUUCAAAAGAUAGACAACUUUGUUACAUGGCUGUCCGAGAAAAGAUUCUGCUAACCAGACAACACUGAAAUCUAGAAAUGUUCUCAGCAAAGAGCUUGAAAGCACUCCAGGAUCCAGAUGUUCAGGCUACUAACCCUAACUUUAAAGCACAGCAUUUACUUAAUAGUUUGAAGCUUUCCUACCUAUCAUUCAGUUUAUUUUCUGACAACUACUUUUACUCAGCUUGUUUGUUCUCAUCUAGUUUUCCUUUUGUAUAUCUUCUCCUUCAUGUUCCCAAGCGAAAUGUGAAUUUCCAUAUAUUGAAAAAAACCCUAGAAGAAAACCUAGGCAAUACCAUUCAGCACAUAGGCAUGGGCAAGGACUUCAUGUCUAAAACACCAAAAGCAAUGGCAACAAAAGCUAAAAUUGACAAAUGGGAUCUAAUUAAACUAAAGAGCUUCUGCACAGCAAAAGAAACUACCAUCACAGUGAACAGGCAACCUACAGAAUGGGAGAAAAUUUUUGCAAUCUACUCAUCUGACAAAGGGCUAAUAUCCAGAAUCUACAAUGAACUCCAACAAAAAAGAAAAAAACAAACAACCCCAUCAAAAAGUGGGCAAAGGACAUGAACAGACACUUCUCAAAAGAAGACAUUUAUGCAGCCAAAAGACACAUGAAAAAAUGCUCAUCAUCACUGGCCAUCAGACAAAUGCAAAUCAAAACCACAGUGAGAUACCAUCUCACACCAGUUAGAAUGGCGAUCAUUAAAAAGUCAGGAAACAACAGGUGCUGGAGAGGAUGUGGAGAAAUAGGAACAUUUUUACACUGUUGGUGGGACUGUAAACUAGUUCAAUCAUUGUGGAAGUCAGUGUGGCGAUUCCUCAGGGAUCUAGAACUAGAAAUACCAUUUGACCCAGCCAUCCCAUUACUGGGUAUAUACCCAAAGGAUUAUAAAUCAUGCUGCUAUAAAGACACAUGCACACGUAUGUUUACUGCGACACUAUUCACAAUAGCAAAGACUUGGAACCAACCCAAAUGUCCACCAAUGAUAGACUGGAUUAAGAAAAUGUGGCACAUAUACAUCAUGGAAUACUAUGCAGCCAUAAAAAAUGAUGAGUUCAUGUCCUUUGUGGGGACAUGGAUGAAGCUGGAAACCAUCAUUCUCAGCAAACUAUCACAAGGACAAAAAACCAAACACCACAUGUUCUCACUCAUAGGUGGGAAUUGAACAAUGAGAACACAGGGACACAGGAAGGGGAACAUCAAACACCGGGGCCUGUUGUGGGGUACAGGGAUGGGGGGAUAGCAUUUGGAGAUAUAUCUAAUGUUAAAUGACGAGUUACUGGGUGCAGCACACCAACAUGGCACAUGUAUACAUAUGUAACUAACCUGCAUGCUGUGCACAUGUACCCUAAAACUUAAAGUAUAAUAAAAAAAAGAAAAAGAAAACCUAGGAUAUGAUAAUGAAACAUCAGAUAUGGAAUUAAACAACCAAACAAAAUAUCCUAAGUGCUGCUUAGUAUGUGUGCAGAAUUUGCCUUUAUUAAAAACCACGAACUGGAAAGUAUAUAAAGAAAGAAUGGGAGACACAAGGAGGUUCAGCAUACACCUAAGGCAGCAUGUUGAUUUAUUUGAUAAACAGACAUUCAAUUCGAGAUCCUCUAGUGCUCUUCACUAGCAUGGAAUUCCAUAGUUCUCAAUGUCCCACAGAUCAUAUCCAACUUACAAUCACCUAUAUGGCUUAUAAUGGUGAACUGACACCUCCCAAACCAUCCAUUCCGACUGCCCUUAAUAAAUGUUGCCCAACGUGGUGGCAAGUGCCUGUAGUCCCAGCUACUUGGGAAGCUGAGGCAGGAGAAUCGCUUGAACCUGGGAGGCGGAGGUUGCAGUGAGCUGAGAUUGCUCCACUGCACUCCAGCAGGGGUGACAGAGUGAGACUCCAUCUCAAAAAAUAAACAAACACAGAUGUGAUAUAUAUAAACCAUAAGUAAUUAGGUGUGUUAAUGUGCAGACCAAGCCCAAUUAAGUGACAUUUUACUGUCUUUGUGGCAAUGACAUAUUCACAAAUCCGUGUCUUAAAACUGUUAUUUAUAUAUUGUUCUAUUGCUAGUGAUUUAAUGUUCAGAGGUUAAUGAUUUUAGCAAUUUAUUCCAGAACACAAAUUUAAAUGCAUCUUGUCAUUAGAAUUGGUUGUACAACUUAAGUAUAUAGAAAAGGAUGUACAUGUAAAAUAGAUUUUGUAUUCCGUUUUUUCCUUAAAGAAUAUAACCUUCUAUACUUGGUUUUCUACCUUUUGGGAUUGAUACAGAUACAAUGAAGCCAAACCUAAAAUUUAAAAAAAUAAAAAAUAAAAAAAAAAAUGUUGCCCAAGCAUUUCGUAAGCAUUUAAGGAUAAGGAAAGCAAUGCUUCUUUAGCAAGGUAUGAUAAGAGCUUCGGGGGUGGUAAAAUGGAAGCAAGUGGGUAAUACAUCAUUGGUAAAUGUAGAGAAUUUGUCAAUUUUUGUUUUGGUGUCGAAAUUUUAAACAUAUGCCACUGCUUUUGGAAUGGAAUGAAACUGUGAAUUUAAGGGGAAAGCUGGAUAAAUGGGUUGGCAGUAUAUUAAUAAAGUUGAGUUCUAGUCCUGG